rnacentral:misc_RNA from 1 species
CGCCGCUCCGACGCCGAUCGACGACUGCUAGUCCCGCCUUCUCGGCUGCUCGCUUGCCCGCUGUUUGCUGCUGCUGCUGCUCCCGGACGACCCGUUCUGCCGCGCCGAGCGAGCCCCCCCCGCGUGUGGUGGCAGCCGCAGCGUGGCGGCGGGGGAGGAUGCUGACUCGCUGCAGCGCACGCUGGUGCGACGAGGCUGCCGGCGGCGCCCAUGACGGAGAGGCGCGUGUCGGUGCGCGAGCGCGCCCGCGAACUCGAAGCCCUCGCGGCGAGGGAGGCAUCGCCGCAGCUGGCGCACAGGGCGCGCCUGGCCCGCAGGCUCGGGCUGACGCGCGCCGACUCGGAGCCCGGUGCCGAGGGCGGCCGCGCGGGCCCGUGCCACUGCUGCUCGCAGCCGGCCGACGAAUGCCUGUGCAGCGGCGACGGCGGCGGCCGGCUGUUGUCCGUGCCGCACGUGCCGCGCAAGAAGGCGUCAGCGCCGGCCAUCACGCCGCUGCGGGGCGCCCCGGGCGGCGGUCUCGUGGCCGACGAGGGCUCGAGCUGCGCCGACAUCCGGAUGGCCUGGGAGGCCCUGUGCGCCGCAGCGGCGCAGGGGCCCGAGGCUAGCGGCGCUAUUUCGGAUGAGCCCCGCGACGAGAAUAGCGCGCCUAUCUUGGGCGCGGCGCAAGGUGACUCGGCGCGGGGCCCCCUGGACGCGAUCCUGCAGUCCCUGGAGGAGAUCUGCAGCCAGCUGGAGGAGGUGCCCGGCGGCCAUGCGGGAGCGCCCGUGAUGCUGCCGGACGCCGGCGAGGCGGCGUCCCGGCUCAACCCGCGCUGCGCCCGCUCGCAGCCCAGCUCGCCCCGCGUACGCGCCAAGCCUCAACUGCCGGCCUACCUGACGCUGGCCCGGCGUGCCCGCCAUGACGACGCGCUAGAGAUCGAGCAGAUCAAGACGAUACUGGCCUCUAUCGACUUCUCGCGCUACCGCAAGAAGCGCGGCACGCUGGUCGACGAGGGUCGCCAGCCCUCCGCCAUGUCCGAGCAGGCAGCCCUGCAGGGAUCCCGGCUGCGGGAGCUAACCGAGAAGCUCAAGAGCCCCGUCGGUGCACCCGGCAGGCCCUCGGAGUCGUGGAACCGAAGGCCCGCCCCGGUGUGCCGCAGCGCUUCCUUCUCGACGUCCGACCUGCCGUCAGUGCCCGCGAUCCCGCGCGAGUCGCUGACGCUGCCGCGCAAGGCCCCCGCUUCCAGGCCCCUGACUGGACGUGGUGGUGCCAGGGACGCCUCCAGGGUGGCCCUGGACGAUGUGGCCAUGUCCAGCCUGUCGCUGGACUCGGCCGUCGAGUCGAUCGUUGACGAGACCCCGUACCAGCGCGAGGCCUCUCCGCCCGCGGAUAAGCGGCGCGUGCAGCGCGGCUGUCGCUUCGCGCCUCUGGACGACGAUGGCAGCCGCGGGCCGCCGCAGCCCCCCGAGAAGCGGAAGCGGCGCAAGGGGCUGGCGCCCGUCGAGGGCCCCAAGAAGGAGACUGGCCGCUCGCUCACAUACCCGCCGCAGCGGAAGACGGCCGAGCAGGAGCUGGCCUUCGGCUCGGUCGACAGCAACGGCCUCAAGGCGCUUGGUGGAAGACCGGAGAAGCAGCCGAGCGACUUGUCGCUCGCCGACAGCCACUUCUGUCCCAGUGAAGCGCUGGGCGAAGAGACGUUCGGCGACGUGGUGCAGAGCCUGUCCUCGCGACCUGAGCAGCCUGAGCCGCGUCAGGAGAAGAGCCAGAAGAAAAAGCACCUCUCCGACCCGAGCGCCGACAACACGGGCGCCGCCACCGAGCUGUUGCUGGGCGCGUGCUGCCGCAGCGAGCCGCAGCUCUCCUGCCCCGGGGCUCUGCACAAGCGCCAGCAUUCGGGACCCGCCGCGCUGAGCCGCACCCCGGUGCCUGCGCCGCCUCCACCGCCGCCAUUGUCGGACUCGGAGCGUGCCACGUCGGACACCGAGCGCACCUGUAGCCCACAGCGGCGGUAUUCCAAGAAGCGGCUCCGCGGGCCCUACGGUGAGAUGCUCGAACAGGAGAUGCGCAAGACCGGCGAGAAGCAGAAGACCGCCUUCUGCGAGGAGCUCAGCUUUCUUCUGCCGGCCGAGAAGUCUCAGACGUCUCCCGCGGUGCCAGCGACGACCCCGGCGACGACGAUAUCGACGACAACAACGACGACGACGACUUGUGGUGAUGGUGCCAAGUUGAUCGCAACGAACGCACCGACGAUGGCGGCUCGGUCCAGGCCCGCCCACCUGUCCAACAGCCUCUCGCUGGACGACACCCAGCUCAAGAGUUCCUCGGCGUCUCUGGAGGCAGUGCCCGAGGCCUCCGCGCCCCGGCGAAAGAUCAGCGCCAAUUACCCGCUUACGGGUUCUGACACGGCUUCCUUGCUGGUGUGCAACAACGCGAACGAGACUGCCGCCGCGGCCAAGGCCCAACCCGUGUCGUGGUUGACGGCGGCCGCCGGCGGCGGCGGCGACUCCAGUGCUCGAUCGACGACGCCCGCGCCGUCACCCGUGCCGCCGUCCCCGCAGCUGAGCGGCGGCGGCGCGCCCGAAAGAGUGGCUGCUGCCCACCACGAACGCUCCCACAGCAGCCCCGCGACGACGUCAGAUGGUUCGCCCUUGCUCGUCAGGACGGGCUCCUUGCGACGUCAUCAGGACACACGGACGCAUGUCGUCGGGGAGCUCUACGACACGGAGAAGUCGUACGUGGAGAGCCUUCAGAUUCUGGUCAAUAAGUACAUGCGUCCUCUGAAGAGCCCGGACACCGCGGGCACGGUGGACAGCAGCUUGGUGGACGAGAUCUUCUACAUGAUCCCCGAGAUCCUGAGCCACCACGAAGCAUUCCUCGAGGUGCUCCGACAGAGGCUCUCCUGCUGGGACACCCGCCAGAAAGUGGGCGACGUAUUCGUCGAAGCGUUCACUAAACAGCCUGUGAUAGACACCUACACUGCAUUUAUCAACAAUUGGAAGUCAGCCAAGGAGGCCAUCAAGAUGGCAACUCAAGCAAAGCCUGCCUUUGCCAAGUUUCUUGAGAACACAUCAAGGGAGCACAAAGGCAAAUUAGCCCUGGAUGCCCUUCUUAUCAUGCCAGUGCAGAGGAUACCUCGUUAUGAACUUCUUAUUAAGGAGCUGAUAAAGCACACGCAGCAUGACCACCCUGACCACCAGCUGCUGGUACUGGCGCAGAAAGAAGUGCAUGAACUGGCUCUCAAGAUCAACCGCAUGGAGCGAGAGGCUUUUCAGCAUGAACAGAUGCAGCAGAGGGUCCGUGAUAUUGAGCAGCUCAUCGAGGGUGUCAUAGAUCUCGUCCAGCCAGAUCGGACAUUUAUUCGUUACGACUUUGUGACAAUACCUGGUGGCCUCGGCACAAAAAAAGACAGAUGCCUUUUCUUGUUUUCCGACCUUUUGCUGAUCACAAGCAUCAAAAGAAAGAGUGGGACAAUGCGAAAAACAUCACCUUCUUCGAGUUCUCCAGCUGGUUUUGGAUUCUCUGUGUUUGAUAUGAACAAGUACAAACUGCUACUUAGGUUUUCCCUUGACAACCUGGACAUCUUGAAAUCUGCUGAUGUGGGACUUAAGAAGGCCAUACGAGAAGCGGAAAAUUUGGAAGAAGACAUGUCUGUUAUGACACAGAUAUCCGAGCUUGCCUCUCGACUGAACUGCCCUCAUCAGGCCCUGGAUGAUGCAGUGAAAGAAAUUACAAAUUGCCUGAACAAGCAGCUCGCUGAGCGUCAAAGCUAUGACUUGCAACUUUUGAACCUGCAGCUCUCAGUAACCACUCCAGAGGGUGUUGAGAACAUAGCCAUUAUAUUCCCUUCCACCGAGAAACGGUCUUCAUGGGAGGUUGCCUUCAAUGAAGCCAAGCAGAAACUUGCGCUGUCCACAGACCGGCGGCCACCCCCAGAGUUCCUGCACCCUGUGCCAAUCCGCAAGACUCGGGCGGGACUGCAGUUUACGUGCGCAGUGGCCACCCUGGGCCUCAAUGCCCAUGGCCUGCGAGACGUCUGGGUCUGCAACAGCGAUGGCUACGUGGGCCAAGUGUGUGUGCUCAGUCUCCAGCCGGAGCCCACGGUCAUGUCCUGCAAUGGUGUCUGCAAUGCCCGCAUCCUCUGCAUCGCUUCCAUCCCGGCGGCCAGCCCAGUGCUGUCAUCAAUGGGACGCAGGAAGUCACUUGUACCUGAAUCAAAUGCGCUUGCCAGCGUAGACGCAGAGAGCAAAGAGCAGGAGCCCACAGCAGCCCAGCUAAACAACAAUGGCAAUAUCCAACUUGACAGUGAAUCUAGUGAAGAUGAAGAGGAGGAAGAGGAGGCGAACAGCGAAUCUCAAGAAGAAACAUCAAACAAAGCCACAGGAAAACUCUAAAGUGCCAAAGGAAGAAGUUGAAGAAACUGACAAUCACUUUCCUACCAUGUGGUUAGGAACUGAAGAUGGCUGCAUCCACGUCUAUAAUUGCAAUGAUAAUAUCAGGAUAAAGAAAAACAAAAUGAAGGUGCAGCACUCGGCAGCAGUUCAUUGCAUCAUAUACCUUGACAACCGUGUAUUUGUGUCAUUGUCAAGUGGAGAAAUUGCAAUCUACAGAAGAGAGUCUGGAGGUGGGUGGAACACAAGUGAUCCGCAGAAAGUUCAAGUGGGCAGCAGUGUAGCUCCAGUGCUGCGCAUGCUGGCCGUUGCUGGGAAGUUAUGGUGUGGCUGCCAAAACUACAUCAAGGUUCUCAGCACUGCAUCCUUAGAAGUAGAGCAUUCUUUCCAAGUAAGCAGCGACUCAUCGCGAGCUGUGCUGUGCAUGGUGACGUCCGGCCUUGGUGUCUGGCUGGCCAUUCAGCACAGUGCAGUCAUCCGGCUAUUUCACGCCACCACUUAUGAGUGCCUGCAGGAUGUAAACAUUGCACCUGCUGUUA